UACGAAGGGGGCUAGCGUUGCUCGGAAUUACUGGGCGUAAAGGGAGCGUAGGCGGACAUUUAAGUCAGAGGUGAAAUCCCGGAGCUUUAACUUCGGAACUGCCUUUGAUACUGGGUGUCUUGAGUGUGAGAGAGGUAUGUGGAACUCCGAGUGUAGAGGUGAAAUUCGUAGAUAUUCGCAAGAACACCAGUGGCGAAGGCGGCUCACUGGCCCGAUACUGACGGCUGAGGCA
rnacentral:rRNA from 1 species